rnacentral:ncRNA from 1 species
GCCAGCAAUGGUCGAUUGAGUGGUACAGGAGUCAGCCGAGGCCAUAGUAGUGGCAUUGCCAUGAAGGGC